GGUGGAGUCUGUAGCUCAGUUAGUAAAGGCGCCGGCUGGCAAACAGGAGAUUGCAGGUUCAAUCCCUGGCUGCGCCG